CUCCGGUUGAUCCUGCCGGACCCGACUGCUAUCAGAGUGGGACUAAGCCAUGCGAGUCAACAUAGCAAUAUGUGGCAUACGGCUCAGUAACACGUAGUCAACAUGCCCAGGGGACGUGGAUAACCUCGGGAAACUGAGGAUAAACCGCGAUAGGUCAUCACUUCUGGAAUGGGUAAUGACUUAAAUCUAUAUGGCCCCUGGAUUGGACUGCGGCCGAUCAGGCUGUUGGUGAGGUAAUGGCCCACCAAACCUGUAACCGGUACGGGCUCUGAGAGGAGGAGCCCGGAGAUGGGCACUGAGACAAGGGCCCAGGCCCUAUGGGGCGCAGCAGGCGCGAAACCUCUGCAAUAGGCGAAAGCUUGACAGGGUUACUCUGAGUGAUUUCCGUUAAGGAGAUCUUUUGGCACCUCUAAAAAUGGUGCAGAAUAAGGGGUGGGCAAGUCUGGUGUCAGCCGCCGCGGUAAUACCAGCACCCCGAGUGGUCGGGACGUUUAUUGGGCCUAAAGCAUCCGUAGCCGGUUCUACAAGUCUUCCGUUAAAUCCACCUGCUUAACAGAUGGGCUGCGGAAGAUACUAUAGAGCUAGGAGGCGGGAGAGGCAAGCGGUACUCGAUGGGUAGGGGUAAAAUCCGUUGAUCCAUUGAAGACCACCAGUGGCGAAGGCGGCUUGCCAGAACGCGCUCGACGGUGAGGGAUGAAAGCUGGGGGAGCAAACCGGAUUAGAUACCCGGGUAGUCCCAGCUGUAAACGAUGCAGACUCGGUGAUGGGUUGGCUUCGCGCUAACCCAGUGCCGCAGGGAAGCCGUUAAGUCUGCAGCCUGGGUAGUACGGUCGCAAGACUGAAACUUAACGCUUUAGGGGGGGGAGCA
rnacentral:rRNA from 1 species